rnacentral:rRNA from 1 species
CUAAAUACUCCUGACUGACCGAUAGUGAACCAGUACCGUGAGGGAAAGGCGAAAAGAACCCCGGCGAGGGGAGUGAAAAAGAACCUGAAACCGUGUACGUACAAGCAGUGGGAGCACGCUUAGGCGUGUGACUGCGUACCUUUUGUAUAAUGGGUCAGCGACUUAUAUUCUGUAGCAAGGUUAACCGAAUAGGGGAGCCGAAGGGAAACCGAGUCUUAACUGGGCGUUAAGUUGCAGGGUAUAGACCCGAAACCCGGUGAUCUAGCCAUGGGCAGGUUGAAGGUUGGGUAACACUAACUGGAGGACCGAACCGACUAAUGUUGAAAAAUUAGCGGAUGACUUGUGGCUGGGGGUGAAAGGCCAAUCAAACCGGGAGAUAGCUGGUUCUCCCCGAAAGCUAUUUAGGUAGCGCCUCGUGAAUUCAUCUCCGGGGGUAGAGCACUGUUUCGGCAAGGGGGUCAUCCCGACUUACCAACCCGAUGCAAACUGCGAAUACCGGAGAAUGUUAUCACGGGAGACACACGGCGGGUGCUAACGUCCGUCGUGAAGAGGGAAACAACCCAGACCGCCAGCUAAGGUCCCAAAGUCAUGGUUAAGUGGGAAACGAUGUGGGAAGGCCCAGACAGCCAGGAUGUUGGCUUAGAAGCAGCCAUCAUUUAAAGAAAGCGUAAUAGCUCACUGGUCGAGUCGGCCUGCGCGGAAGAUGUAACGGGGCUAAACCAUGCACCGAAGCUGCGGCAGCGACGCUGAUGCGUUGUUGGGUAGGGGAGCGUUCUGUAAGCCUGUGAAGGUGUGCUGUGAGGCAUGCUGGAGGUAUCAGAAGUGCGAAUGCUGACAUAAGUAACGAUAAAGCGGGUGAAAAGCCCGCUCGCCGGAAGACCAAGGGUUCCUGUCCAACGUUAAUCGGGGCAGGGUGAGUCGACCCCUAAGGCGAGGCCGAAAGGCGUAGUCGAUGGGAAACAGGUUAAUAUUCCUGUACUUGGUGUUACUGCGAAGGGGGGACGGAGAAGGCUAUGUUGGCCGGGCGACGGUUGUCCCGGUUUAAGCGUGUAGGCUGGUUUUCCAGGCAAAUCCGGAAAAUCAAGGCUGAGGCGUGAUGACGAGGCACUACGGUGCUGAAGCAACAAAUGCCCUGCUUCCAGGAAAAGCCUCUAAGCAUCAGGUAACAUCAAAUCGUACCCCAAACCGACACAGGUGGUCAGGUAGAGAAUACCAAGGCGCUUGAGAGAACUCGGGUGAAGGAACUAGGCAAAAUGGUGCCGUAACUUCGGGAGAAGGCACGCUGAUAUGUAGGUGAAGUCCCUCGCGGAUGGAGCUGAAAUCAGUCGAAGAUACCAGCUGGCUGCAACUGUUUAUUAAAAACACAGCACUGUGCAAACACGAAAGUGGACGUAUACGGUGUGACGCCUGCCCGGUGCCGGAAGGUUAAUUGAUGGGGUCAGCGCAAGCGAAGCUCUUGAUCGAAGCCCCGGUAAACGGCGGCCGUAACUAUAACGGUCCUAAGGUAGCGAAAUUCCUUGUCGGGUAAGUUCCGACCUGCACGAAUGGCGUAAUGAUGGCCAGGCUGUCUCCACCCGAGACUCAGUGAAAUUGAACUCGCUGUGAAGAUGCAGUGUACCCGCGGCAAGACGGAAAGACCCCGUGAACCUUUACUAUAGCUUGACACUGAACAUUGAGCCUUGAUGUGUAGGAUAGGUGGGAGGCUUAGAAGUGUGGACGCCAGUCUGCAUGGAGCCGACCUUGAAAUACCACCCUUUAAUGUUUGAUGUUCUAACGUUGACCCGUAAUCCGGGUUGCGGACAGUGUCUGGUGGGUAGUUUGACUGGGGCGGUCUCCUCCUAAAGAGUAACGGAGGAGCACGAAGGUUGGCUAAUCCUGGUCGGACAUCAGGAGGUUAGUGCAAUGGCAUAAGCCAGCUUGACUGCGAGCGUGACGGCGCGAGCAGGUGCGAAAGCAGGUCAUAGUGAUCCGGUGGUUCUGAAUGGAAGGGCCAUCGCUCAACGGAUAAAAGGUACUCCGGGGAUAACAGGCUGAUACCGCCCAAGAGUUCAUAUCGACGGCGGUGUUUGGCACCUCGAUGUCGGCUCA